rnacentral:rRNA from 1 species
AAGCAAAUUUCCGAUGGCAAAGAAGUAGAUGUCUCAAGCAAGAAGCCGGGAAGAUCUGGUCGAAAGAGAAAGGAGUCAGAUCUAGAGAGGACCUCAACAAUCCCACUGAAUAAAAGAAGAACAAUUUGAUCUCUGGCACGGUCUCUAGGUGUGGCCCGAUCGACCCUACAUAAGAGGUUCCAGUUGAAUGAGCUCAACCGCAUCACAAGCACCGUGAAGCCUCAACUCAAGCUAGAGAACAAGCUUGCGAGAUUGAAAUUUUGUAUGUCCAUGGUCGAUGACAAUUCGAUCUCAACUUCUCGGGCUAUGUUCAAACCAAUGACAAAUAUGGUUCACAUCGAUGAGAAGUGGUUUGACAUGACAAGAGUGAAGAAUAGUUACUAUGUACUUCUAGGAGAGCCUGAACCAAAGCGCACCGUGUCAAACACUCACAGCAUUGGGAAGGUAAUGUUCCUAACAGCUGUUGCCAGGCCUUGA